rfam:Polaribacter sp. KT25b genome assembly, chromosome: I
GUGCGUUAGGGAUUGCAGUGGAAAUCCUUUUGUGAUAACAAAAGAUUGCAGCGUAAAGCCCGUUAAAAC